GCCCUUUUCAAUGACAGGAACACAGUCUAUAGGUUGUUAUCCAUCACGCCCUUUUCAAUGACAGGAACACAGUCUAUAGGUUGUUAUCCAUCACGCCCUUUUCAAUGACAGGAACACAGUCUAUAGGUUGUUAUGCAUCACG